UCCCCAGCCCCCGCCACCCCGGCGCCGGCCCCUCUCACCCUUUCAUUCUCUGCCCGGGGCCUGGCGCGGGCCGGCGAAUCCCCGGCCUCACGUAAGCGCGCUCGCCGCCCGCCCUGCCUGCGCGGCCCAGCCCGCCGCCCUACGGGAGCCCGGGGAUGUGGGCCGGGCCUGGGGCCGCCUCUGCUUACCUUUCAGCUGCUUUUUUUUUUUUCUCCUUCCCCCCUUUUCCCUCGGCUGGUCUGACAGAUCAGAGUGAGAGGCGCUGGCAAUGGACUAGGAAGCUCGGCCGCCGCUGCUACUGCUCCCCCCUGGGCUCCGGCAAGAGCCUUUCCCUGUCAAGCAAGAGGGGUGAGGAUCAUAUUUUUAUUUUGGAAACUAAAAAGUGCUCCCAGGGUCGGUGAUUAUUAAGGGGAAAUCCCUGAAUAUACUCUCCAGCCAAGAAGGCAGGGCUGCCGGAGCUGCACAAGAAGAGGCAGCAGCCUCCUACAGCACCACUACAGGCACUGCGAGGACAUAACACCAGAGAGCAGCUCCUCUGCCCUCCGAAACGACAACUUUCCUACCAUCUUGGAGGCAGAGGAAAGGGGGGCCGGGGGGAAAAGUGCACCCGCUCCCGGUAAAGUACAAAUUUCGAAUUCUCAUCUCUGGAAAAAAGUCCACACCGGCCGUCUACACCGGCGCUUGGGAGAAAAAGCGGGGAAGAAACUGGGGGUGCUUGAGAAACGUUUGCAUUUGCACCAGGGGGAAAAAUGUUUCUGCAUCUUCUGAUGGCAAGAAAUCUUUACAAGACACAGGUUUUCCGAUCUAAGUUCUGGGUCUGGUGGUCAGUUUAUAAAUUUGGACUUCAAGAGACUUCCUAGCCACUUUAUUUGUCUACUUAUUUAUACGUUUUUGUAUUGAUAUACAGAGAGAUUUAUGUUUCCUCAUGUAUAAAAAUUUGUGUUAUAUAUUCCCCUCCAAACUGAGAUUGCUGGAAGACAGUUGUAAAGGGAUGUCUUUUGUCUCCUUUUCUCAAAGCAAUGUAAAUAAAACCUAUUGACUGUCCAGAAGGGCAAGA